rnacentral:piRNA from 1 species
UGCAGUUUUGAAGGUGGUUUUUGCUAGAUAA